rnacentral:rRNA from 1 species
AUUGAACGCUGGCGGCAUGCCUUACAUAUGCAAGUCGAACGGCAGCACGGGUGCUUGCACCUGGUGGCGAGUGGCGAACGGGUGAGUAAUACAUCGGAACGUACCUUAUCGUGGGGGAUAACGCAGCGAAAGCUGUGCUAAUACCGCAUAAGCCCUGAGGGGGAAAGCGGGGGAUCGAAAGACCUCGCGCGAUUAGAGCGGCCGAUGCCUGAUUAGCUUGUUGGUGGGGUAAAAGCCCACCAAGGCGACGAUCAGUAGCUGGUCUGAGAGGACGAUCAGCCACACUGGGACUGAGACACGGCCCAGACUCCUACGGGAGGCAGCAGUGGGGAAUUUUGGACAAUGGGGACAACCCUGAUCCAGCAAUGCCGCGUGAGUGAAGAAGGCCUUCGGGUUGUAAAGCUCUUUUGUCAGGGAAGAAACACCGGCUCUAACACAGUCCGGGAAUGACGGUACCUGAAGAAUAAGCACCGGCUAACUACGUGCCAGCCGCCGCCGUAA